GGGAUUACGGGAGUGAGCCACCACACCGGGACUGAUCUUUCUAACACAGGGAAAUUGUAUUCUUUAGAAGUGAGGGAACAUUUCCUAGUAAUUUGAUCAAGUAAAAAUAAUUAUAAUAAAGAAGGUAAAAUCAAGCCCUAAUUCCCCAUGUAGGGGAAUAAUGUUAUCAUUUUGGUAAGAUUCUUCCAGACAGUAUGAUUAGGAUGUUACAUAAAUCGAACUGUGCUAUAUACAGUAUGCGGAGAAGGACAAUUCCUUAGCUUGUCUAAAGUCUGAUAGUGUGAAGAAUUUGCUGACCUGCUCUCCUUGCCUGUCUGAGCACGAGUGAAGUGAAUCAGAGAGAGACUGCAAGAUGGAGAAAGGAGGUACAGUUGGAGAGAGUGGAGGGGGCAGGAAAGACCAGACAGAGCUGCAUCUCCCAUGAAAACAACCGUGUACAUAUGAUAGAGUGAGUACAUAGAGUACAUAGAAGAGUGAGCUCUGAAAGAACUCUCACAUGGACCCCAGAAAGAGGAGUACUCAACGCCUGCUGCACAGAAGGCAUCAGCAGUAAGUACUGGCUAGAAAAGCAGAGUCCAUCAAAGGAGAGGACCACAGUGGUAGCUGGCUGGAGAGCUGUCCCUGCAAGCUGAACUAUCAGGAGAUGAAGAAUGAGGUCUCCCUAAAAUGCCCACCAUGAGACUGCCAGAUAUGGGACUGCUGGAUGACACUCUGGCCCCCCCCACUGAGUUUUAUGAAAACAUAACAGAGUAAAGACACUUACUUGUCAACUCAGUUACAAGCUAUUGAGGCACUCCAGAGUGACAGCAUGUGAUCCCCCUGACACAAGAAACAGGCCCAGAUAACACACCGUUCAGACCGACAGCAGUUCUGGUU
rnacentral:lncRNA from 1 species